rnacentral:tRNA from 1 species
GCCCGGUUAGCUCAAUCGGUAGAGCGUGAGACUCUUAUAAGGAACAUCUCAAGGUUGCGGGUUCGACCCCCGCAUCGGGCU